GGCCCAGUGGGCGGCGGUCGGCAUCGGCGCCCUCGCGGUGGCCGUCCUGACGGUCGGCUACGGCCGGCUGCCGUGGAUCGCGCUCACCCUGGCCUUC
rnacentral:tRNA from 1 species